CUACGGGAGGCUGCAGUGGGGGAUAUUGUACAAUGGGCGAAAGCCUGAUGCAGCAACGCCGCGUGAAGGAAGACGGUUUUCGGAUUGUAAACUUCUAUCAGCAGGGAAGAAAAUGACUGUACCUGACUAAGAAGCCCCGGCUAACUACGUGCCAGCAGCCGCGGUAAUACGUAGGGGGCAAGCGUUAUCCGGAAUUACUGGGUGUAAAGGGUACGUAGGCGGCUGAUCAAGUCAGAUGUGAAAGCCCGGAGCUCAACUCCGGGACUGCAUUUGAAACUGGUCGGCUAGAGUGCAGGAGAGGAAAGUGGAAUUCCUAGUGUAGCGGUGAAAUGCGUAGAUAUUAGGAGGAACACCAGUGGCGAAGGCGGCUUUCUGGACUGUAACUGACGCUGAGGUACGAAAGCGUGGGGAGCGAACAGGAUUAGAUACCCUUGUAGUC
rnacentral:rRNA from 1 species